AAGCGAAACCGCCCCGCCUGUUCCAAAAGGCGGGGUGGUCGCCCAGGGGUGGCGCUCUGGGCCUGACGAGCAGCUAAA
rnacentral:hammerhead_ribozyme from 1 species